GGGGAAUAUUGCCUCAUGCGCGCAGCCUGAUCCAGCCAUGCCGCGUGAGUGAUGAAGGCCUUAGGGUUGUAAAGCUCUUUCACCGGAGAAGAUAAUGACGGUAUCCGGAGAAGAAGCCCCGGCUAACUUCGUGCCAGCAGCCGCGGUAAUAGA
rnacentral:rRNA from 1 species